rnacentral:lncRNA from 1 species
CCCACUUGACCAUCGUCAUCUCUAUUGCUAUCAUUUGCAUCGCCAUUACUUGUGGUGCCCUCCCUGUUUAGUUCUUGAAACUGAGAUAGAUCAAUCUCACUCGACUUCACACUGCAGGGCAAAAAGUAAAAUUGCAUUAAUCACCAAAAGCCAGCUCUUUAUUAUGGAUGGUUUUAAGCCUUUUUUCUGCAUUAACAUGAUGA